rnacentral:rRNA from 1 species
AUUGAACGCUGGCGGCAGGCCUAACACAUGCAAGUCGAGCGGUAGAGAGGUGCUUGCAUCUCUUGAGAGCGGCGGACGGGUGAGUAAUGCCUAGGAAUCUGCCUGGUGGUGGGGGAUAACGUUCGGAAACGGACGCUAAUACCGCAUACGUCCUACGGGAGAAAGCGGGGGAUCUUCGGACCUCGCGCCAUUAGAUGAGCCUAGGUCGGAUUAGCUAGUUGGUGAGGUAAUGGCUCACCAAGGCGACGAUCCGUAACUGGUCUGAGAGGAUGAUCAGUCACACUGGAACUGAGACACGGUCCAGACUCCUACGGGAGGCAGCAGUGGGGAAUAUUGGACAAUGGGCGAAAGACCUGAUCCAGCCAUGCCGCGUGUGUGAAGAAGGUCUUCGGAGUUGUAAAGUCACUUUAAGUUAGGGUAGGAAGGGUAGGUAA